rnacentral:rRNA from 1 species
AUAUCAAUAAGCGGAGGAAAAGAAACCAACAGGGAUUGCCUUAGUAGCGGCGAGUGAAGCGGCAAAAGCUCAAAUUUGAAAGCUGGUCCUUUUAUUGGGGCCCGCAUUGUAAUUUGUAGGUUUGAAUCUUGAGGGCCGAAUGUGAUUAAGUUUCUUGGAACAGAACGCCAUAGAGGGUGAGAGCCCCGUGAAUUGCAUUGCAGGUUUUCGUUUAAGAUCAUUCCGAAGAGUCGAGUUGUUUGGGAAUGCAGCUCUAAGUGGGUGGUAAAUUCCAUCUAAAGCUAAAUAUUGGCGAGAGACCGAUAGCGAACAAGUACAGUGAUGGAAAGAUGAAAAGCACUUUGAAAAGAGAGUGAAACAGUACGUGAAAUUGUUGAAAGGGAAGGGUAUUUGACUCGACAUGGGAUUUAUUCAUCAUUGCUCCUUGUGGGCGGUGCUCUGGAUUUUUUCUGGGCCAACAUCAGUUUUUACUGGGAGGAUAAUGACAUUGUGAUAACUUCGGUAGGAUCAUGUUGAUGCUCCCUGGGGAGACUGAGGACUGCCAUUCUUUUAUGUAGGAUGUUGGCAUAACGGUCAAAUAUCGC